UCCGGUUUGGCACCGGCAGUCACCUUAGAGUGCCCAACUCAAUGCUGGCAACUAAGAUCAAGGGUUGCGCUCGUUGCGGGACUUAACCCAACAUCUCACGACACGAGCUGACGACAACCAUGCACCACCUGUCUCCUCUGUCCCGAAGGCCUACCCUAUCUCUAGGAUACUCAGAGGGAUGCCAAGACCUGGUAAGGUUCUUCGCGUUGCUUCGAAUUAAACCACAUACUCCACUGCUUGUGCGGGUCCCCGUCAAUUCCUUUGAGUUUCAGUCUUGCGACCGUACUCCCCAGGCGGAGUGCUUACUGUGUUAACUUCGGCACCAAGGGUAUCGAAACCCCUAACACCUAGCACUCAUCGUUUACGGCGUGGACUAC
rnacentral:misc_RNA from 1 species